AAAGCUUGCAUGGUAGGUCUAUGG
rnacentral:siRNA from 1 species